GCUGAAAUGUAUCACUGAAACAUUCAGCAUAAACCUGCACUUUAACCAUGUCUGUGUACCUGACUUUUUUCUCAUCCUGGCGACUUUGACUUCAAUCAAGUAUGGCUUACAACCUGUUUGAGAUAUGGCAAACCUUGCAGAGAUGUUCGCUAGGAGAACUGUGCCUGUUUUCAGGAAGCUUUUCAGCUUGGUAGUGAAUCGCAGUGAUUUAAGCAGACACAUACAACUUGUUGGAUGAAAGGUGAGGAUAUUUGGAAACGCUUUUCAAAAUGUAGAGCAUGUUUCACUUUCAUUUCUAUUAAGUCUCUAAAUGCCCGUAUUGAUUUAAUCAUUAGACUUGUGAUGACCUCUGAAAACCAAUAUUCUUUUCCUUUUCUUUUUUUCAAGAAAAGAAUGGUAUCAACAAGGACUUUAGGGAAGGACAGUUUUCCCCCUUCUUGACAAAAAAUAUAGAAUAAUUUCCUCUUAUAUUGUGAGCUUGGAUGAUUAUGGAAGCUAUAUUUCAAAAAGUAAAAACCAGCACACCCCAAAACUUUCCAAAAAAGGCCCUGCGAUUUUUCGAUUGACUUGUCUGAGAUCUGGGACAAAGUGCCACAUUUCAGAAAUUCCUCCCGGACGUCAAUUCCACCGUUGAAAUCCUGGUUCUGUCUGGGAAAAUCCAGACGUAUGGCAGUCCUUUCUCUACGCUAUGUGGUUUAGGUAACCUGAGAACUUCAAGUCCUCAGCUAAUGCAGCAACAGCCUUCAGUAGACUCAUGUGACCUGUUUCUGACGGCAAGCUUUUGUGCUGCAGCUAAAAAGAAUCAUACAAAUGUAGCUCUCAUGUUAAGCAGACCAGGUGAAAACUUGCAGAAAAUUAAAAAGCAAGCAUGCUAGAGGGAAGGUUUUAACCUAGCCUGCCCCCCAAAGUACCACUUCUAUACUUGUAGGGAGUGUGUUUCUGUUUAUUUUGGUAGGGAACCAUCCAAAUAUUUGGCCGCUUGUCAUCUAAAGGGAUACAUUCUAGCCUCAGAUAAAUCACUUAAGCUUGCAGACCCCUCAAGUGUCCCUAUUUUCUAGAGACAGUCCCGGAUUUACCGAAGAUGUCCUUAGAAAUAAAAGUCUCAGAUGAAAUCUGGAAAGAAAUAUAUCGUCCACAGUAGGUUUACCAUGGGGCCUUUGUGUGUGUGUGUGUGUUUCUCUGUGUGUCAUAUUUUUUGAUUCUAUCUCUGAAAUAUAUACUCAUAGAUUAGGAGAAUGUGUUGGACAUUUGGUGACGUGUGAAGAUUAAGAUUUUUUUUUAAAGAAGUUAAUUAGGCAUAUGCAAGAAAUAAUUGGAUACUGCAUACGUAUCAAUCCUUUAAUGAUUGUGCUGGAAAAUCUUGCAGAAUAUGUGAGAUCAGAACACUGAAAUUUAUAUGGGUUUUGAUAACUGCUUCCAAAAUAGUGAUAGCAGCCAAAUGGCUUACCGUAACAGUUUGAACAGGAGAAGAGUGGUUUAAUAAAAAUUGGUACUUUGCCAAAAUGAGUAAAUUAAAUGGAGACAAAGAAAUGAACAAUUUAAGAGCUUUAUGGUCCUCCUUUAUUAAAGAGAUGAAACAACAAUAUCUAUUAGAAUUAUUUAAAGCUUUUUCAUUGUUAUUAUAAUGAAUAAUUUACAUCACAGGAACUUAAACAGG